rnacentral:tRNA from 1 species
GCCUUCGUGGUGUAGUGGUCAGCACGCUCGACGCGUAACCGAGAGGUCCCUGGUUCGAUUCCAGGCGAAGGCG